rnacentral:rRNA from 1 species
AACGAACGCUGGCGGCAUGCCUAACGCAUGCAAGUCGAACGAGACCUUCGGGUCUUGUGGCGCACGGGUGCGUAACGCGUGGGAACCUGCCCUUAGGUUCGGAAUAACUCCCCGAAAGGGGUGCUAAUACCGGAUAAUGUCUUCGGACCAAAGAUUUAUCGCCUUUGGAUGGGCCCGCGUUGGAUUAGCUAGUUGGUAGGGUAAAAGCCUACCAAGGCGACGAUCCAUAGCUGGUCUGAGAGGAUGAUCAGCCACACUGGGACUGAGACACGGCCCAGACUCCUACGGGAGGCGGCAGUGGGGAAUAUUGGACAAUGGGCGGAAGGCUGAACCAGCAAUGCCGCGUGAGUGAUGAAGGCCUUAGGGUUGUAAAGCUCUUUUACCCGGGAUGAUAAUGACAGUACCGGGAGAAUAAGCUCCGGCUAACUCCGUG